AGUGAACGCUGGCGGUAGGCCUAACACAUGCAAGUCGAACGGCAGCACAGUAAGAGCUUGCUCUUACGGGUGGCGAGUGGCGGACGGGUGAGGAAUACAUCGGAAUCUACUUUUUCGUGGGGGAUAACGUAGGGAAACUUACGCUAAUACCGCAUACGACCUACGGGUGAAAGCAGGGGAUCUUCAGACCUUGCGCGAUUGAAUGAGCCGAUGUCGGAUUAGCUAGUUGGCGGGGUAAGGGCCCACCAAGGCGACGAUCCGUAGCUGGUCUGAGAGGAUGAUCAGCCACACUGGAACUGAGACACGGUCCAGACUCCUACGGGAGGCAGCAGUGGGGAAUAUUGGACAAUGGGCGCAAGCCUGAUCCAGCCAUACCGCGUGGGUGAAGAAGGCCUUCGGGUUGUAAAGCCCUUUUGUUGGGAAAGAAAAGCAGCAGGUUAAUACCCCGCUGUUCUGACGGUACCCAAAGAAUAAGCACCGGCUAACUUCGUG
rnacentral:rRNA from 1 species